rnacentral:lncRNA from 1 species
GACUCCACCCCCUUGGCUGGUCUUCUUGGAGAUGAGAAUAGGCCCAGAUCUGCCACACCUGGGCGUAAUUGACUAACGAGCUACCUGAGCUCUUUAAAAUGGAGCUUGUGUAAAGGUUGUCACGCUGCUUGCUUAACGAGUACCACUUCCCCUCGAUUCAGCCCAUACUCGGACCUCUGCCUUGCUAGCACACGUGACCGUCCUCCCUCAAGUGUCUUAGCCCGAUUGCGCCAUCUCAAAAGCUAGCUAAUGAGGCAACGCAAGCGGGACACUUCAGGCUGAGGAUUAAGUUUCACAGAUCUCCAUCUGCUACACUUGCAGUUUACUCUGCUGGAGGAGAAAGACCAUGUUGUACUGCUGUUGCCACUGCCACUACCGACGAUAACAUGGCUACCACCAACGGGACCAUGUCACACCGCUCUGCCAAUUACCUUGCAACCAGAGGGGGACCAUAUAUACGAUUGAGGACAACGGGCGAUGAGGGAUGACUGCCAAAUGACUAGCGACUAACAAUCCUCCAGCAGCACGGACAUUAUCUCCAGAACCGAGUUUGUUGUGUGUGUGUGUGUGUGUGUGUGCAUAUGGGUGAAUGGUGUUGUUGAACUUGUACUACAGAAGAACUUAAGAUAAAGAACAUUUUCAAACCUGUAUAACCUUGUCUGUGUGCUGGCCUGGGAUUAAAGAAACCAGUUUUUGACACUUGGCAUAGUCGGCAGGAUCCCAGCACCCCAAACAGACUGGUUUAGGGUUUGUAGAAUGACCGGUAGCAUUUUAGGUGGAUGGGACAACCACCAUUUUUGGGGGGUAAAUGUCACGUGUUGCCCUCUGUAUUUCUCCCAAAGCAGUCGCCAUUAUUAUAUAUACAGUAAAUUUGAUGUGCCUUAUUCUAAUUUCGCAUGACUAAGGUUUUCUGUGUUGCUCCCUCGUGUUUUCUAAUUGAUCGAUGGUAGACUCCUCCCCCUUGGAUGAUUACCUUGGAGAUGAGAAUUGGCCCAGAUCUGCCACACCUGGGCCUCAUUAACUAGCUCCUUAAAAUGGAGCUUGCAGUUCACUCGGGAGCUGCUGUAGGAGGAGGAUGAGUGUGUCCUACUGCUGUUUCCUCUCCCCCCUCUGUCGACUGCAUUGGAACGGACCAUGGGCUGGGUGCCACAGACGACGAGGAAUGACUACCGAACGACUACCGACUACCGACAAACAAACCAAUGGUAGAUGAGCAACUGAUGGGUUGUGGCCAUCUUAGACAAUCCUCCAGUAGCACAAACAUUAACCCCCGGUACUGAGUUUUCUGUGUGUUUGCGUAUGUGUGAAUGGUGUUGUUGAACUCCCAAAGAACUUGAGAAAGAACAUUUUGUUUUCUAUGUGGUGGCCUAAGAUCAAAUAAAUCUCCUUCUCACUCUUACCUGUGUCAAGAUCAGUGCUGUGAGAUUCAUGAGGAAGUUAGAUUACAUUCAGGAGCCUUGCCACAGGCCUUAGAUCAGAUAAGACACCUCCAGUUAAUGACCACAGUCAGGUAUAAACAAACACGCACGCACACUGGUUCCCGUCACGUUGAUGUACUGUACUUUAUGUGCAGUUCAGACACUCAACAUUCAUCACGCUGUUGAAUAAUGUCAGUAUUAUUAUUAGCCAUAUAGCUAGCUGGAAGUUGUUUCAUCAUUGUACAGUAUGUUCAGGUAAAAAGUUUCCGAUUUUUUUUUUUUAUACAUCUGGGUCAGGAGGUUUGAAUUCUGUAAUAGAAAACUCUGUGUUAAGACAUGAUUAAAUACCUGUAUCCGUUCCCCAACUAAAACCUCUCACCAUUCAGUACCAGAGUCAAAUAAACAACCUAGUUUGGUUUACAGCAGAACUCUACUCUGACUGGGUUCAGCAGUAAAUCAUAUAAAGAGGAGUAGUCACAGAUAUUUUCCCUCUAAUUCCUUCCCUCUGUUUUUGUGUUUGUUUCCAAAGACAAAGUGGGCCUUAGUCAUUUGGGGUAUGGAUUGGAGAACCCAACAGGCAGGCCUAAACAUAAACAACUGUACUCAGCAGAUUGAAGGUUUUACACAUGAAUUAGGAGGGGAUGAAAGUAUAGAGGACAAGAUUUAUGGUCGGUGAAAGAAUGAUUUAUCUUAACCUGAUCCUUCAAAGGCAGAGCUGUGUUGUAAUUUGUUCUGUCAAUAUGAUCAACCCCUGAAUUUUCUUGAUCAGUUGUAGUACUAUUUCAACUUUGUGCCAACCAGUGCAAUGGGAAUGAAAGAAUGAGUAAAGUAUUGUUUGCUUGAAACUAGCAUACGGGUGGCUAUUUUACAAAUGGUUUUUAUCAUAUUUACAGAUAGUGUGGUCAUCACAGUCAGACAGGUGCAUUGCUUUCAAACUUUGAGACAUGGUGAUUGCUCUUCAAACAAACAUACAGGAAAUGUUUUGGACUAGUCAAAUGGUUCAAAUGUAUUUGAGUGUUAAUACAAUACAGUGAUGGAUUUAUGUGUUGAUUGAGAAUAAAACAGGCCCUGAUAUGGGAUAUGGUGAAAUAAAACAUGAG